AGGUAGGAAUACCCGCUGAACUUAA
rnacentral:rRNA from 2 species